AUGCCACAGGGUGCCCAGAGCAGGAGCCACUGUGCCCUGCAGCCAGGGCUGAGCUGUCCCUGGGCUGGUAUGUGCCCACAGGGCCAUGGCUGUGCCAGCAGAGCCGUGGCUGUGCCAGCAGAGCCAUGGCUGUGCCUGCAGUGCCGUGGUUGUACCCGCAGAGCUGUGGUUGUACCUGCAGAGCUGUGGUUGUGCCCACAGGGCUGUGGUGGUACCCACAGGGCCGUGGUUGUGCCGGCAGAGCUGUGGUUGUGCCAGCAGAGCCACGGUUCUGCCCACAGGGCCGUGGUUGUACCCGCAGAGCUGCGGUUGUGCCCACAGGGCUGUGGUGGUACUCACAGGGCCGUGGUUGUACCCACAGAGCCAUGGUGGUACCCACAGGGCUGGGGUUGUGCCGGCAGAGCUGUGGUUGUGCCGGCAGAGCCGUGGUUGUGCCGGCAGAGCCGUGGUUGUGCCCACAGGGCUGGGGUUGUGCCGGCAGAGCUGUGGUUGUGCCAGCAGAGCCGUGGUUGUGCCCACAGGGCCAUGGCUCUGCCCACAGCUGCUCCCUCCGUGUGCCUCGUGAGCCCUCGGUGCAGAGCGGAGCCCGUGUCACCCGUGUCACCCAUCACUGUACGUAGGCCUCACUGUCCAGCCCCAGGAAAUGUGUAGCACUUCAUGAAGUUCAGGGUGUCCUGCACUGAGCUUGGCAUGGCGGGAGGGGAGGACACAGAUCUGACCCAGGAACAGGGAUGGUUCCUCCCAAACCCUGCCAGGACUGACGACACUUGGGUCUGGCAGUGUGAAACACCCAGCACCUGCCGUUCCCCACACUGGGAUUGGGAAUGUUGACCUAUGGCUGGGAUGUCUCCUCAAGCAAUCCCUUCAGGUUUCCCCAUUUGGGCACUGGGGAAGGAAUAUUUUUAGGUGAAGCUGUAGUUUUUUGCAUCCUUCCCCCUUUCAAACCCCAGCCCUCACUGCUGAGCCUCAGGGCUCCCUCAGUACCUCACCGAGCUGGACGGGGCACACACGAACCCUGGGCUCACAAAUCCAGAUUCCUGGUACGGAUCUGGGAACAGCAAACUGACAUCACCUAAUCUGGGAUUUGGGAGCGAGCAGAGCUGCCUCCUCCCACCUCUCAGUCAAAUUCCUCCCACUGUGACUCCGAUCCCAGCUGAUAAAUGGGUACAAAAACGUUAAAUGUGCACCUUCUGUUGAUCUGGCUGUGGUAAAGUGUGAUGCUGGUCAGCCUGGUGAGACUCUGAGCAGUGUCAGACAAGAGAUAACAAAAUUCCCAUUGCAUUUUCAACUUCCAAAACUUUGGACCAGCUCUUAGGUGAAAACGGGAGGAGGAACUUCAACCUAACCCAACACAAACUAUAACUUCUAAAAAGCAAAAAAAAAAACCCACAAGUAUUCCUCUAGAGAGACCUCUUUUCUCUUCUGCUCCUUUAUUUUUGCAACAAAUAGGUUGUGAAAAGGUUGGUUCUUGGCUGCUCUGCCUGAGCCUCCCUCCAUGCCCCAGGCUCGGUGUGUUCAGGGUGAAGGGGGGCAGAGCUUUGGAUGCUUUCUUUAGGAUGAAGCUGAAGGAGUGGGGAAGGGAGACAGAACACGGGAUCAAAAGCAUGGCCUUGGCUUCAUACCACACUUUCUGUGCCUUGUUCUAUCAAUGUAAAUUCUGAAUGUUGUACAGUAGAGAUACUUGGGAAAGACUCCUUGGAAAAGGCUGCACUGGCUUCUUUUUUCAGCACAUGUACAUAUAUAAAUAUAUAUACAUAUAUAUAUUUGGUAAUGCCAACCAGCUGUGUUAUAUUGUCCUGGAGAAGUCAAACUGGACAGUUUGGGUGUUUCUGUAGAGUUUCAGACCUGUACGGCCCCGGCCUUUGGAGAGAAAUGUACAGAUGAGAAUAAUGGAUAUCGGCUAUUUAUGAAUAAAGAGUCUUUUACUGACAUCUGACCCUGCUGUCCCUUCACUGCUGGGAUCAAACAAGGCACGGCACUGGCAACGUUGGAUUCCAUGGAGGUUUGGGGGUGGGGUUUUUUUUUGUUUUAAUAAUUCAGUGUAUUUCCCUUUCAGAACAGCCCCCCAAAACCCUUCCCGGGCCAUCCCAGAGACUGAAGGUGGGACAAAGCUCUGGGGCACCUCCAGCACUGUCACACCAUCAACCCUCCGUGGGUGACAAAUGGGAGCCUGGGCACGGCCCUCACCCUAAGUGGGCUGUAAUAAAAUGAGUUGUUAAUGCACGCAAAGCAGAGGCGCAGGACAAGUGCCAUAAAUCGGGAUCUCCUGCCAAGAUUUUACUGCCUGCUCUGAAGUUGUUAUCAGCAGAGACACCCAACGCCAUCUCCUGUCACACCCCCCUUUAGAACCAACAGCACCGGCAUGAACGGCCCCGACAGGCCCUGUAAAACCAGCCGGGAUUCAUUGUGUUUGCAGGGAAAUGGUGGCUGCUAUCAUAAGGAGUUCAUGCACUGGGAUUUAAGGAACAGCCACUUAAAAAUGCUGCUGCAAGAAGAGGCUGCUGUGGGGGAAGGUCCUGGUUUGGGCCAUUUCAGCCAUUCUGAAAACACAACCCCAAGGUGACAUUUCCAACACCAAACCCCACCUAUUUAUUCUUAAGCAUCUCAGAAAUUAUUAUUUUAAAAGGACUCAAUUUGCAAACAGCUCUGAAAGAUUGCAUUUAACGAACUGUCAAUUAAAAUUUGUCUAAUUCAAGCCUGAACCUACCAAGAAAAAUUGAACUGACACCUCUUAAAUGAGACCUUGAGCAUCAAACUAGAAAGUCCCCAAAACUCACCUGCAGAUGGAUUAAUGAAGCACUGUGAACCUUAAUGUAAUUGCAAAAGGAGUAAUUCCAGAACCUGCCAGGAAUAAAGGGGCACUGAGCCCCUCGCCAGCCAAGCAGGACCUUGAAGACGUCCCAGACUCGUUUAGUGUCACCAAAUGUCCCCAGAGCAGGAGGCUCUGGCACAGCCCGUUCCUGUGGGGACAGGGAAAAGAGAAGGAGAGGAAAAGCUGCUCUCCCUGCCUGUGUUUAUUUCUUGCUGUGCUUUGAGGCCAUUUGGUUGCUGACUCAAAUCCUGUAACCCUUCUGUUGUGACAGGAGGCAACACUGCAGAGAAAACUCCUGGUUACAAACACCAGGGACUAAUUUAAACCAAACUGAAUAAAUCCCAAUCUGGGCUCUGCUAAGGAGCUUUGCGCUUUUUUACUUUUUUUUUUUUCCUCUUCUGAGAUAUCAGUUGGAUUUUAUUUAUUUUAUUCCAAUACUUACCUGCAGACUGUUUUCCCUUAUUUUGUUUUUGGGUUUUUUUUUUUCUUCUUUUUUCCCCUUAGUUCACCAACAGCCACUCGCAGAUUCAAACCCUAACUCAUGGUCAGUGCCCAAAGUCCUACGGAAAGCUUUGUUAGAAAAACACUCAAAUAAAUCACAGGCUCUUAAAAAUCCAUUCAGAGUUCAAAACGAGCUUUAAAGCAGGUCCUUCAAAGAGCUGGGUUCCAAAAUCCCGAAUUUUGUCUGGGAUCUCGGGGUGAGACAGACUGGGC
rnacentral:lncRNA from 1 species